GAUGAACGCUGGCGGCGUGCUUAACACAUGCAAGUCGAACGGAAAGGCUCCUGCUUGCAGGGGUACUCGAGUGGCGAACGGGUGAGUAACACGUGGGUGAUCUGCCCUGCACUUCGGGAUAAGCCUGGGAAACUGGGUCUAAUACCGGAUAGGACCACAUUUUGGAUGGUGUGGUGGAAAGUUUUUCGGUGUGGGAUGAGCUCGCGGCCUAUCAGCUUGUUGGUGGGGUAAUGGCUUACCAAGGCGUCGACGGGUAGCCGGCCUGAGAGGGUGUACGGCCACAUUGGGACUGAGAUACGGCCCAGACUCCUACGGGAGGCAGCAGUGGGGAAUAUUGCACAAUGGGCGCAAGCCUGAUGCAGCGACGCCGCGUGGGGGAUGACGGCCUUCGGGUUGUAAACUCCUUUCGCUAGGGACGAAGCGCAAGUGACGGUACCUGGAGAAGAAGCACCGGCUAACUACGUG
rnacentral:rRNA from 1 species